rnacentral:tRNA from 1 species
GGAGAUGUACCCAAGUGGCUGAAGGGUUCGGAUUCGAAAUCCGAUAGGUGCCGCAAGGCACGCGGGGGUUCAAAUCCCUCCAUCUCCGCCA